rnacentral:rRNA from 1 species
UACGAAGGGGGCUAGCGUUGCUCGGAAUCACUGGGCGUAAAGGGCGCGUAGGUGGCGCGGGAAGUCAACGGUGAAAGUUCGGGGCUCAACCCUGAAUCGGCCGUCGAUACUCCCGGGCUUGAGCACUGUAGAGGCAGAUGGAAUUCCGGGUGUAGCGGUGGAAUGCGUAGAGAUCCGGAAGAACACCGGUGGCGAAGGCGGUCUGCUGGGCAGUUGCUGACACUGAGGCGCGACAGCGUGGGGAGCAAACAGG